CCAUCACUUUGCCCACCACUUCUACACCAUCUGGCAGUCCGCACUAACUCAUUUUGUUUACUACUUACUGGAGCAUUCAUGGUGCUCCCUGGGCAUGUCCCUGCAGUCCAUAAAUGCUUCUCUAUGAGAAGCAUUUGAAUGGAACAUGGCCUGGAAGACGAUGAUGAUGGCAUUGAUGAUGGAAAAGGUGUAGAAAUGAUUGUGGACCAGCAAAAUGAUCGGGGACAGGUAAGGAUUUUUGAUGUUUUCAAACAUUAUUUGGGUAAUAAACAGGGGAGAACCUAGAAAAAUAUACAAAAAAUAUACAAACUAAUGGAUUCAGGCAAAUGUGUUAUAACUGGAAAACAAAAGUUUGAGAAACCCUUUAAUUAUUGAACAGUAAAACAAAAGAACUUGUGUGGUG